UUGUAUUGUACUGUGGUGGUUUGCUCUUGGGCGUGUCCGCCUUGGUGCUGGCGUAUUUACGUCAUCAGCUGCGUCUGAUGUUUGCCAGUAUUGAGACGGAUACGGUCGAGUGUGUGAAUGACCCGGCUGCAGGCUAACCGCUCCUGAUCAGCACUCUUGUAUUUUGUACAGAAUAAAUGGUCAAUGCAGAAGGGGGCAAGUCUCUGUCUCAGUACCUUCAACAAACAAAAAAAACACAACGCAGAGUAAGACUACAAGAAAAGACUAACCCUGUCAGAACCAGGUCUGACACGGUUACACUGGUGCCGUGACCCGUUCGGCU